CUGGAACCAUGUCAUAAAGGAGACUACAAAAUUACCUCUGCCUUCCACUCAAAACACUGUGGCAGGGUGUGGAUGUGGCUUGGUAGGGUUUGGGUAGCAUUCAGAGUUGUAGGUCUAAUCCACUGCAUAGACUGGAUGCAGAGCGCACACCUCUAACCCCAGGACUGGGGAAGUGGAGGCAGGAGGAUCAGAAGUACAGGGUGGUCCUCAGCAACCAUGAUUCUGAGCCCAUCUGUGCUGUCCCUGAAAUACAUAAUAAAAGUAAAUAGGAGAGCACAGCAGAGUCAUGGCUCUGUGUAUAGUUGGGAUGAAAAGCCAAAAAGUGUCAGAGGACUUGGGGCAGGUGAGGUUCUGGUGUCCUGACUGUUCCUGCUCCUUCCCUGAUGUAGGCCUGGUGAAAGAUGCUGCCAGGCCGGCCUACUGGGUGCCCGACCACGAGAUCCUGCACUGCCACAACUGCCGCAAGGAGUUCAGUGUCAAGCUCUCCAAGCACCACUGCCGAGCCUGCGGACAGGGCUUCUGCGACGAGUGCUCCCAUGGCCGCAGGGCUGUGCCCUCUCGAGGCUGGGACCAUCCAGUCCGAGUCUGCUUCAACUGCAAUAAAAAGCCUGGUGACCUUUAACCCCAGUUCCCUCUCCACUCCUUCACAGUUCCUUAGGUUCUCAGGGUUAGAAACAAGUCUCACUGAGGUAGGCCCUCCUCCUGGUCACCUGGUGUGGUGUG
rnacentral:lncRNA from 1 species